rnacentral:rRNA from 1 species
GAUGAACGCUGGCGGCGUGCCUAAUACAUGCAAGUCGAGCGAACUGAUUAGAAGCUUGCUUCUAUGACGUUAGCGGCGGACGGGUGAGUAACACGUGGGCAACCUGCCUGUAAGACUGGGAUAACUUCGGGAAACCGAAGCUAAUACCGGAUAGGAUCUUCUCCUUCAUGGCAGAUGAUUGAAAGAUGGUUUCGGCUAUCACUUACAGAUGGGCCCGGGGUGCAUUAGCUAGUUGGUGAGGUAACGGCUCACCAAGGCAACGAUGCAUAGCCGGCCUGAGAGGGUGAUCGGCCACACUGGGACUGAGAGACGGCCCAAACUCCUACGGGAGGCAGCAGUAGGGAAUCUUCCGCAAUGGACGAAAGUCUGACGGAGCAACGCCGCGUGGGGGACGAAGGCCUUCGGGUCGUAAACCCCUGUCAGAGGGAAAGAAGGGUCAUCUGGUGCACAGCCAGGUGACUUGACGGUACCUUCAGAGGAAGCCCCGGCCAACUCUGUGCCAGCCGCCGCAGUAAGAC